rnacentral:rRNA from 1 species
UACGGAGGGUGCGAGCGUUGUCCGGAAUCAUUGGGCGUAAAGGGCGCGUAGGUGGCCCGGUCAGCGUGCGGUGAAAGCUCGUGGCUCAACCCCGAGUCGGCCGUGCGAACUGCUGGGCUGGAGCACUGUAGAGGCAGGCGGAAUUCCGGGUGUAGCGGUGGAAUGCGUAGAGAUCCGGAAGAACACCGGUGGCGAAGGCGGCCUGCUGGGCAGUGGCUGACACUGAGGCGCGACAGCGUGGGGAGCAAACAGG